UACGUAGGUGGCAAGCGUUACUCGGAAUCACUGGGCGUAAAGCGCACGUAGGCGGUUUGAUAAGUCUGUUGUGAAAGCUCCCGGCUUAACUGGGAGAGGUCAACGGAAACUAUCAGGCUAGAGUGUGGUAGAGGUAGCUGGAAUUCCCGGUGUAGCGGUGAAAUGCGUAGAUAUCGGGAGGAAUACCUAUGGCGAAAGCAGGCUACUGGACCAUCACUGACGCUGAUGUGCGAAAGCUAGGGGAGCAAACAGG
rnacentral:rRNA from 1 species